GAUGAACGCUGACAGAAUGCUUAACACAUGCAAGUCAACUUGAACUUCGGUUUGGGUGGCGGCCGGGUGAGUAACGCGUAAAGAACUUGCCUCACAGAUAGGGACAACAUUUGGAAACGAAUGCUAAUACCUGAUAUUAUGAUUAUAUGGCAUCGUAUAAUUAUGAAAGCUAUAUGCGCUGUGAGAGAGCUUUGCGUCGGAUUAGCUAGUUGGAGGGGUAACGGCUCACCAAGGCGAUGAGCGGUAGCCGGCCGGAGAGGGUGAUCAGCCACACGGGGACGGAGACACGCUCCAGAGGCCUACGGGAGGCACCAGUGGGGAAUAGGGGACAAUGGGCGCAAGCCUGAUCCAGCCAUACCGCGUGGGUGAAGAAGGCUUUCGGGUUGUAAAGAACUUUUUUUGGGAAAGAAAAGCAGUAGGUUAAGACACCACUGUACUGACGGUACCCAAAGAAUAAGCACCGGCUAACUUCGUG
rnacentral:rRNA from 1 species